rnacentral:rRNA from 1 species
GAUGAACGCUAGCUACAGGCUUAACACAUGCAAGUCGAGGGACAGGCGCACGGGUGAGUAACACGUAUCCAACCUGCCCUUUACUCGGGGAUAGCAUUUCGAAAGAAAGAUUAAUACCCGAUAUAAAGGAUGGGGAUGCGAGCCAUUAGGUUGUUGGUGGGGUAACGGCACACCAAGCAUUCGAUGGAUAGGGGUUCUGAGAGGAAGGGCCCCCACAUUGGAACUGAGACACGGUACAAACUCCUACGGGAGGCAGCAGUGAGGAAUAGUUGUAAAUGGGCGCUAGCCUGAACCAGCCAAGUAGCGUGAAGGAUGAAGGCUUAUGGGGCGUAAACUUCUUUUAUAUAAGAAUAUGUAUUAUAUGAAUAAGGAUCGGCUAACUCCGUGCCAGCAGCCGCGGUAAUAC